AAGGAAGUCGAAGGAGAAAGAGAAGAAGAGACAGCAAGAAGGAGGGAGACGAAAAAGGAGGAAAAAAAUGAAUGAGAGAAAGGAGAGAAAGAAAAAUAAAAGUAUUUUGGUUAGUUUUACUAAUCUGUAAAAUUAAAAAAUGUAGCCUAUUUCUGUAAAAGUGUAAAAUUGAUGGGUUUUUUUAAUGCAAAUUUGCCGAAGUUAAUCAAAGUGAUAGAUGCAUUACUAAACUUAUAACGGAAAAUACAGAAAAAUGGUGCAGUUCAAUUUCAUGUUAACAAAAAAUUGAGUAUUCAGAGAAGGGUAAAUUACAGAAAACUUUCCUGCCAAUAUUUGAUUUUUCACUUUCCCUUCCUGUCAUUUAAAAACAUACACUUUGCCCCCUUGUAAAAUAAAAAAUGUUCACUUCACCUCCUGCCGUUAGUGAUCCAUUAGGGUUCCGUUUAUAAAAUAUUAUUAUAUUUUUUUAUGCUAAAAAUGCUCUCAGUCUUCUCUCCUAUUGUCAAAAAUGGUGAGAGGCAAAAUGGUCAUUUUGUCAUCACAGUUUACACCGUACCCUCCUAUGACAAUUUUUUAUUUUACAAUAAGGUAAAGUGUAGAUUUUUAAAUGACAGAGAGAAAAAGUGAAAAAUCAGAUUUUGACAUGAGAAUUUCAUGUAAUUUAGCUUUUAGGGAAAAAAACAUUUCUAGUUU
rnacentral:lncRNA from 1 species